UUGGGAAUCUUGGACAAUGGGGGAAACCCUGAUCCAGCCAUGCCGCGUGAGUGAUGAAGGCCUUCGGGUUGUAAAACUCUUUCGACGGGGACGAUAAUGACGGUACCCGUAGAAGAAGCUCCGGCUAACUUCGUGCCAGCAGCCGCGGUAAUACGAAGGGGGCUAGCGUUGUUCGGAAUUACUGGGCGUAAAGCGCGCGCAGGCGGUCUUCCAAGUCAGUGGUGAAAGCCCGGAGCUCAACUCCGGAACUGCCAUUGAAACUGUAAGACUUGAGGAUGAGAGAGGUGAGUGGAAUUCCCAGUGUAGAGGUGAAAUUCGUAGAUAUUGGGAAGAACACCGGUGGCGAAGGCGGCUCGCUGGCUCAUUUCUGACGCUCAGGCGCGACGGCGUGGGGAUCAAACAGGAUUAGAUACCCUGGUAGUCCACGCCGUAAACGAUGAAUGCUAGCCGUUGGGCAGCUUGCUGUUCAGUGGCGCAGCUAACGCAUUAAGC
rnacentral:rRNA from 1 species